AAACAGGAAAAUGAAAAAUUACCCGGCUCAGCAGAAUCAACAUGGAUAAAUGGGCCCGGUGCGAAGUGGUUAAAUAUCAUGUGAGAAAUGUUCCUGUAAAAUUCUGGUAAACUACCACUUCUCAGCAACUGCAUGUAGACAUCAAUUGUUUGUGUUUACCUACAUGUACAUUGAUAAAAAAAUCCUGUUUUUCUUGUAUAGAAAAAUCAAAUGUAUACAGAUAUUGGUUGUCUAUUGUCAGCUCCUUUUGGUUCUAUAUAGAUGGCGAUGUUCAUGAUUACACAUCUGUAACCUACAUGUAUUACAUUGCAAAAGAAUGUUAUACCAGAGUGGCAUAUUUAUGAUUUUUUUUAAUUCUCCCUUUUCAAGUGCUAUUAAACGCAGUUGUGGGAAAGUCUGUACAGUUCUUAACAAUUCACCUUAAUUUUUAUUCCUCACCAUGAAAAAGUGUGUUCCAAAAGUGGGGUGCUAUAAUGAAAAUGAAUUUAAAACACUCCUUAAAAUUUACCUGUUCCAUUAAUUGCCUUUAAUUGUUGUUUCUUGUGAAGCGCAUUGAGACUUCGAUGUGAUGCACUAUAUAAAAACUGUGUGUUAAGUAUUAUUAUUAUAACACCCUAUUCCCCCCUCUAUUUACAUACAUAGAUUUGGCUUUUAUCCCCCCCCCCAUGUAAAUACAUAAUUAUGCAUAAUUUAAAAGUUAAAUUGUGGCAGACUUUUUAAAACAUAAACUUAACACUUUUGAACUGGAUUUUUGCAGUAAAAGGUCAUUUUCUGCAUUUUUUACAUUUGUAAGCAAAAAGGGAACACUGCUUGAAAUGGAAAGCACUAAUCAUUUAUGGUGUGCAAUAAUGUGAUGUAAUUACCAGCUUUUGAUAUAUUCAACUUAUGAGGAGUGUUUCUGCUUGUAGGCUUGCUUUCAAAGCCAGUUUUUGGAUUGCACAAAUAUUUGGGAAGCUUAUUCAUAAUUUUGGUCUUGCUUUUAGCAUCAUGGAAGGCUACUUCAAAUGUCACGUUAUUGUCAGCAGUCAUGUUGGAUUGUGGCAUUUUUACAUUUUUGUUUGCCUGAAUUAACACCAACCCCCUAGGGCGUAUGUAAAAUCAUAUUGAAAUCAGAUGAUUUGGGACUGUUAGGGCUAAAGAAUGUACAUGUAGUUCAGUCCUGUACCUCAAACAACAUUCAAGUGACUUUUCGAUUUAGAACUUUACUAGUUAUCCAUCACAACUGAUUGCACCAUUGGAAUAUCCAAGAAGGGCCAUCUCUAAGCAGUGAAUUGAAAUAUGGCAAAUUGUCAUUUCAAGUCAGUAUGACCUGGUUUCAAUCUCACCACUUCAAAUGCUAAAACGAAACUCAGUUCAUAUUACUGCUUCAUUGAAGUUCUGCUUGCGUUGUUUUUGUGUGGCCCACUCUCCUCCCUUCAGUCUUUCCCAUUUUGAAAUUUGUAAGGUACAUGUAUAUGGAAAAUUUUAAUGAAUGUGAUUUCUAGAAUCACAAUUAUUGGAGAUGUUUCAAAAGUUCAAAGGUCAUGUGAUGUGCAAUGUAGAAGGCUCUCACCUCAUAGCAGACAUAAAUAAUUUGGUUUUUAAAAGCUGUAUUUAGAUUUGUAUGUUAAAAAUAAAUGGCCAAAUGCAAUAGGAAAAAGAAACCCAAAUGUUGGGUUUAUGAAGGGCCUUCUAAAAGUGAGUUAUGAGUAAGUUACUGAAGACAAGGUUUAAUAGAGUGUAGCUUGUUCACUCAUCAUGGUCAAAAUAUAUUUCUUUACUUGAUGUAAACAUUGUACAAAAAUGUUCCAAUAAAGUUUCACAUCUUUGUAUAUCAUUUUUUGCAGCUUGGUUUACAUGCAGCUGUCCCUUUCACUAUUGUAUUAAGGGAAUAGAUACAUGUAUAUGUAUGUUCUUGACUGGUCUUCAGUAUUAGGUAAAGACUAUCUAAGCACAUAUUUAUUCCCAUUCAUAAAUACCGUUUUAGUUAGAGUGUCAAAAAAGUCAAUAUACUAUUAAUUUCCAAGGGUUUUGUUCAAGAAUUUUACUUUCAGUGUCACGAACACCCGGUCCAUUUUAUGGUAUGUUCCUUUUUCAAGUAGUCCAGAAGAAUCUCCACAAAUAGAUGUGGUGAGUUCUGUUUGCCACAAUGCACACAGACUCUUGACCAAUAGGAAUGGAUUAAAGAGCAACCCCAACGGUGGUGAAAAAAAAUGGGGAAUACAGUUUAACCCCUUCGCUACUGAGGACUGCCACUACUGUGGACUGCCACUACUGUGAGGAUUAGUGCAUACCACACAUACAGUCUAUUCACCGUGCAGCUGCUGGUUCAAUGGGGCCUGCUGCUUGACAAAGCCCUCCAUUGAGGGCAUACCACAGGCCAGCAGUUGGGGUCAAAAUAAUCCAGCCGUGAAGGGGUUAAUAUACUCACAUGUUAUCUAAGUGAUAAGUUACAUAUGUAAAGUGGCACUGUGACUUCUGAAUAAAUAGUUAUAUUGCAAUAAAAGUAUGGAGUAACUCUAUGGGUUUUUCAAAAACUGUCCAUGUUUGUGCUGUUAGUGGUACCAUGCUGAAAUGCCUUUUCAAUUGCGCACCAGUGUGGAAAUGAAAAACGUCAUGACCUCGAAGGACUUGGUUUCAUGGGUACAUUUUUGUACAAAGGCCUGCACGCCUCAGCUGCACGGCCUUGGGUUCUUUUUGCUCUGGUGAGUGUUCUUCUUGCUCGUACCAAGAGUUGUCACGUUUGGGUCUUCCGCGUUCAGCCAUUUUUGGGGAGAAUAUCUCGGGCCUUCCAGACAGCACGAGCUUGGGACAGUGUAACUGUAACUUCACACUUGUUACUAUACUGUGUGAAAUUAUGUGCAUUGACAUGACUGUGCCGGCUCAGUGCAUACAUGCACCAACCAGAGAAUUGUUUCCCUGGUGCUAUGUGGACAAAAGCCAUAUUCAUGAGAUGUAAAUGAAGCGAUGACGACAUGCUCCUUUCAGGAAAGCUAGCCAUGGUGCUCGGCAGAAAUGGGUGUCAAAAGUGAUUUUUUUUAACCAAAAAUGUUGCUGAAUUCGGGUUUAUGUGUGGUGUUUAGUUGGAUCCAAGUAAACAUACUACGGCCAGAUUUCUUAUCUUCUUCCAUUGUUGGGGUUGCUCUUUAAACUGUUUGUAUCCAGGCACCAGCGCAUUUUUAUGCAGCAUUUAUGGCAUUGUCAAAUUGCAGUUGGCAUUAUCAAAAUGUUGCUUUACGGUCCCGUUGUGGGUUGUUUAAUAUGGAAACUGUCUGAGGUAUUUAUGAAUACAUGUAUGUACUUUGUGCAAUGUGUUAAUUAUUAACUGUCGGUUAACUUUGUGUGUUACCGUACACAGAUCUACGUGUGUAUUUGUUUCACACAUAGAUUUUUGGAUUGGAAGUGGUUCGUCUUUUCAAGGGGUCCAAUUCUUUACAAGGCAGGCGUGCACAUUAUUUUUUUUAGGUCUGAAUACUUAUUCUUGUGUACCUUGGUCAUAAGUUUUCUUAAAUUGUCGUGUGUGCGUGUGUUUUCGUACUUGUGAAAAGAGUAAACAUAUUUCAACUCCAAACCUUCAGUAUCUCCAUUGUGUUCAAUUCUCACUACUGUUUAUGGUAUGUCUGUGUUUUGUCUGCCUGGCCAUCUUUCUGUCAGUUAUCAAACUCACAUCUGUUUGGGUCAGAAAGUAUUCCAGGUUAUGGAACAUAUUUUUUGUGGUAUUUAGGUACAAGUGUUGUUUUUUUUUCACAAAGGUUUAAAGAGUAAUUUCAAGACGUACCAGUAGAUAGUAUCAAACAUUACCAGAAGGUUUCACAUAAUUUGAAUGAAGAUGUUUGGCUUUCCAAGUGGUGGAUCAACUGGGAUCAGUGAUGCCUCACCUGUGGCUGGAUUCCUCAACAAAGGCUCAGUGGUUAUUUCUGAGGGUGCAGCUGAAUACUUCAGUGUUGGACCACUGGUUAUUUCUGAGGGUGCAACUGAAUACUUCAGUGAUGAACCACUGGUUAUCUCUAAGGGUUUGGCUGUGAGUACCUCAACAAAGGCUCACUGGUCAUCAUCGAGGAAGUGAGCAGAUGCUUCAGUGAUGAUCGUAAGGUUACCCACAAAAGCAUGGGAUAUUAUGGUGUAUUUUUACCCCAGAGGAGUGGCCAUGUGCAUCAAUGAUGAAUGUGUUUCCUGUGCAGAUGUAGAGAGAUACCUCACUGAUUGAGUUUUGUUGCCUCUGACGGGUGGCCUUUAUGUUUUCAAUGGUAUAUGCUUAUAUGGAAUGGUUUGAUGCUUCAUUCAUAGUAAUCCAUUAUCAGUGAUGGAGUUCUGGCUAUUCUCGGCGAAAGAGAUGCGAAUAAAAAAGAGGAUUGAGAGGGAAACAAUUGCCACACUAAUAAAUCCACGUACGUUUAAAGAUGAGGUUCUUAAUAAAAUGAGAUAAUUAAGCAAGUCUCGAAGCCCUCAUAUUACAUCUGUACUAUGAAGGAUACCCCGCAAGCAUUCCCCUCCCUCUAAAUAAAAAAUCACAAUGCAAUGCAACACAAAAUACAUUUAGUCUGUACCAAAAUUAUUUUCAGAAUUGAUGUUUUGGGUAUUAAUUUAAAGCUUAGGAUGUUUAAACGGAGGUGACACCUUUGGAUUUUGUCAUAAUUUAACAAGAUUGGUUGAUUAGGGGCUGCAGCUUUCAUUCCACUGAAUUGCUUCAUUUUUUAAUAAAUUGCUUUGUUAAAAAAUCGAGAAAAUAGAGUGGCAUUUUCAACAAUAAAUUUGAAUAUCUUGUCAUAAAAAUCCCAAAACUACAGGGCAUUCAUAGAUCAUAGUAAGUGAACAACAUCUGAGGGGUUAGGAUGGAGAACAGGCAAGACAUGUUCUCUUGUCCUUUAAGAAAAGAGAAGUUUUCAACUGCCAGCAGCCAAGUUCACGAAACUUAGUAUAACUUUGAACCAUGCGUAAUUCUUGCACCAUAAAUUUGUUGUAGUUUAUGUUCCAUUUCACAAACUGUUGCAUAGCUGUGCCAAGUUUUAAUAUUAAAUGUAGUGGACAUGGACAAGAAAGUUUUUUAGGAUGGCUGUUCCUUUCCAAUAUAACAACAGUCAUCAAACAGUCGUUGAAUCACCCAGCCCUCCAUUUUGAAAAAGCUUUCCUUUUUUUUCUUUUUUUUUUAGUUUUCAUUACCUUCUAAAACAAAGUUGUACACUUUCCAUAUAAGCCUUGUUGAGUUGAGCAGUGAUGAGGCUUUAAUAACCGAACAUGACAUGCUUGUCAAAUCAUUCCUUUUCGCUUUGUUUGGCGCCACAUACACCACCUAAAAUGACUGCGUACAUUGGGCCAUAACUUACACAGUGCAUAAGUUUCAUGAAAUUGGUUUUAAUUUGUUGUGCAUUUUAUUAGUAAUAAAAUGUGGCAUAAGUGGAAUUAUGCCAUUACGUAAAGUUUUGUGAAAUUGGCUGCAGGACUAGUUAGUGGAUUAGCCUAGGAAUAAUGCACCUCCUUGAUAAUGCAGCAUUGGGGAUUCAUGGGAAAAAAUUCAUCCUGGAGUGAAGUGUGCAGUUGACUCCUGUGUCUGUGACAUUGAUGCAAUGAGCGUGCAUGUGCAAUCAUGCACCCCUAGUUUUACUUUUCUUUGCCAAAAAUCUUCUAGCCAUGCAGCUUGGAAACUUCCAUCAUGUUUGGACCAUAUAUUAUGCCUUGGGGGAAUCGAGUUUGAAACAUUUUUGUGUUUUGGGGGCUACCCAUUAUAGCCAAUCUGUGCUGCAUAGGAAGUUCUUAUUUUUGUUUUGCUGUCUACAAUUCAGCAAAAUUGUUAUUUUUUAACUGCAAUAUUAACAGAUAUGUUUUUUACUAACAGCCUGCUUAAUGAUAAGCAUGACAGUAGUUCAUGAAGACAAUUUUGCUGCAGUGUGGAAUCCUCACCACGUCGCAUUACUGAUGUGGGUUUGAAAGCAUUGUAGUCUCACCAAAUUAUAGUCAAUUUGCUUCAGCAUUAACCCCAAAAGAGCUGGCAGUGGGAUCUCCCAACCCUUUAUCAACUUCAAACUUAACAGAUGAAUUUAAUGUAGACAACAGUACAAUAGCUGUACAGUAAAGAUCUGAGGAGUGAUAAGUUCCCCACCUUACCCACAACGUAAUCCCCAUCCACCUCCCUCACUGUGAGGUGAUGUGGCAAAUAGUACUCACCUUUGGAGUGAGAAUGAGUUGUAAUUGGUGGAGGCUGUCUAAAGAAGAAUGAGGUGAGCAGAAAUAACAUCUGCCUCUAACAAAGAAUUUUGACAAAGGGGCUUUGAUAGCUCCAGUACUAAGAAGAGAUAGGAAGCUAUGGAGAUGCUUGGAUACGUGGGAGAGAGAAUGCCAAGCUGCUAACAGCAAGCGUGUUUCAGAACAACCAGCUUAUGUAUCACAGAAGGCAAGAAGAGUUCCUUCACGUACAUCAAGUCUUGUACUAUAUCCAACCUAUAAACACAAACCAACCUAUGAUUACGAGUCAAUAGUCCAAACGAUGAGCAGGAAUAAUAAACCGAGAAAAAACAUGUCAGAUGUAAAGAGCAACCCCAACGGUGGAAGAAAAUAAGAAAUCUGGUCAGAGUAUGUUUACUUGGAUCCCACUAUAGACAUCUGUGCCAUGUAAAUCCAGAUUCAGCAAUAUUUUUGGUUUAAAAAAAAUCACUUUUGAGAGCCGUUUCUGCCAAAUGCCAUGUCUAGCUUUCGUGAAAGGAAUGUGUCAUCAUCACUUCGUUUACAUCUCAUGAAUACAGCUUUUCUAGGAUUCUGUGGAUGUAGCACUGUGGAAACGGUUCUGCAGCUGAUGCAUGUAUGUGCUGAGCUGGCGUGGUCACGUCAAUGCAUGUAAUUACAUGUAGUAUAGUAACACGUGUGUAGUUAAAGUUAUACAUUGUCCCAAGUCCGAGGAGCAGAGCCUCACCGCUUCACACCCAUCGCGCCAGUGGAGCGCCAACAGGAUCCCAAUCGGGCUGACGAUGGGGCCACCGCCGGUUAACAAAGUGGUGAAGGAGACCAAGAUCUGAUAAAUACGGCUUGGCAAGUUCAGAGUAAAGGACAGAUGUUUUCAAUGUUUAUUGUGUUGCUAUUCCGAAAAGAGUGUCACGCUAGGCUAGGCUAGGCUGGCAGCUCAGGCAUUCAGGCCUUUGUACGAAAAUGUAUACAGGAAACCAGGUCAUGACGUUUUUCGUUUCACAGUGGCGCGUAAUCACCACGUGGCGCCACCAACCGUACAAAUGUGGAAAAAGUUUGAAAAAACCUGCAGAAUUGGUCCAUACUUUUAUCACAUUAUUACCUUUUAUUCAGAAGUCACAGUGCCACUUUACAUAUAUAACUUAUUACUUGGAUACCACGUGAAUUUAUUAAACUACAUUCCCAUUUUUGUCACCACCUUUGGGGUUACUUUUUAAACAGAAAAAAAGGUGGAUGUGUUGAUACUGAUUAAAUUGUUAGAGGAUUCACAAGGAAUUAUAUACACCAGUAAACUCAGACUGAAUCAUUUGAUGCUGAUUACCAUUCUUAAAUUGGAAAUAGAGUCAUGUGUCUACAAAGUGGAAAGUCUUCUAUACAGAUGCAAACAUACAAAUGUUGAUAACGCCAUUUCAGAAGUAAUUCGGCUGAUCAAGGCAUAUGUAACUUUAGUGUACAGGUACCCUAAGGAAUCAGUAUUUACUGUUCUGUCAUUUUAGUUUUCAUUAAGUCUGGGUUUUAUUCCAUUUGUUGUAAAAAAAAUGUAAGGCUUCGUUGGUAGUAUUAGCAAAUACGGUUUUGUCCACAGGCAACUUUUCCCCCAAUAUCGAGAAUACGGUAAUAAAGAUUCUUUUUUAACAAAAUGUCACCUUAAUUUAGAUAUAGUCUCAAGUUCCCCCAUAAAUUGCACUAUGGCCUUCGAUGAGAGCAUUUUAAGGGAUGUACAGGAGUCUCAGUUUCUUUCCCAUGAUGUUGAGCAUGAACUGAUUCGGGAUUGGCACUGGCAAAAAUCUCUGCAAGAAAUUGGGGGGGGGGAGGUAGAAGGGGAAUGACUUGUCUGGCCAUGGACAUUUGAAAAGGGGGGCUACACCUUAUACAUUAUAUAUACUAUAUAGGGGGUGAUGUUCUUGAUAAAGAUGUACACCUGUGAUGUGUAGCAAAUUUAUACAGAUUCUUACAUCAGAAUGGCAUAUUUUUGGCUUAAUUAAAUUGUUUCACCUUUUUAAUGAUGUUGCAGACACUUCAGUCUUUGGGAAAUCCUGAAAAUUCUACACAAUUCACUUAGACAUUUUUGGUCAUCACAAAAAAGUGAGGGAAGAUGAUUCAAUAGCCAUUCCCCCCAAAAAAGGUGUGUGUGGAGGGGUAUAUACCCCAUCCUCUAUGGGAUUUACACCCAUGGGAAUUGGACAAUGUAGUGUUCCAUUUAUUUUCGCCAGUGUUGCACCUUUCCCUUCACUAUAAAUGUAGCAUUUCCACUCUAUGAUCUUGAUCUGUGUACAGUCAUUUUGCUGUUAUUUUGGUUGGUCUGAUUCAGAUUUGAAUGAUGUGGAAUUAUGGCGAUAUUUUCCCUUGUGGUUUUGUGUGUAGAAGUGUUCACUUUAAUUUCCCCGGUCAGUUUUUGCGAACGAGAAUGCCAUUGUGUAGGGCAGUUUACUUGCAAAAAAAAUAGGCAGGUUAAAGGAUGAUGUGGGCAAACAGUUCACCGGUGAGUGAAAUUUAUAGUGAAAACUACUGAAGUGUGAGUGCUGGAUGACUGGCUUGGGCGCUAGCAUGGGUCCACGGUAGAGCCAUGCAGUGGGCCCGUCGGUCAGCCUGAGAGACCCGUUGCCGCAGCGCUGGUGCAGUAGCGUUUUUAGAAGCACAUUGUUUUCAGAGAUGCUGUCAAACAAGAGAGUCAGAGUUUUAAUAAAUGGCCGAAAGCCACAAAAACCAGA